UGAACGCUGGCGGCAGGCCUACCACAUGCAAGUCGAACGGUAACAGGAAGCAGCUUGCUGCUUCGCUGACGAGUGGCGGACGGGUGAGUAAUGUCUGGGAAACUGCCUGAUGGAGGGGGAUAACUACUGGAAACGGUAGCUAAUACCGCAUAACGUCGCAAGACCAAAGAGGGGGACCUUAGGGCCUCUUGCCAUCGGAUGUGCCCAGAUGGGAUUAGCUAGUAGGUGGGGUAACGGCUCACCUAGGCGACGAUCCCUAGCUGGUCUGAGAGGAUGACCAGCCACACUGGAACUGAGACACGGUCCAGACUCCUACGGGAGGCAGCAGUGGGGAAUAUUGCACAAUGGGCGCAAGCCUGAUGCAGCCAUGCCGCGUGUAUGAAGAAGGCCUUCGGGUUGUAAAGUACUUUCAGCGGGGAGGAAGGGAGUAAAGUUAAUACCUUUGCUCAUUGACGUUACCCGCAGAAGAAGCACCGGCUAACUCCGUG
rnacentral:rRNA from 1 species